UACGGGGGGGGCAAGCGUUGUUCGGAAUUACUGGGCGUAAAGGGCUCGUAGGUGGCCAACUAAGUCAGACGUGAAAUCCCUCGGCUUAACCGGGGAACUGCGUCUGAUACUGGAUGGCUUGAGUUUGGGAGAGGGAUGCGGAAUUCCAGGUGUAGCGGUGAAAUGCGUAGAUAUCUGGAGGAACACCGAUGGCGAAGGCAGCUCGCUGGGACGGUACUGACGCUGAGGCGCGAAAGCGUGGGGAGCAAACAGG
rnacentral:rRNA from 1 species